rnacentral:lncRNA from 1 species
GUAACGCAAAGGGGAAGAAGAGGAACUCGUUCCUUGUUCCUGUACCUCUAGCAGAAGCAAGACUUCUAGGACCAGGUGAAGAUGCCUGCUUUAGACAUGGAGCCAUUAGGAAACUAGUACUACAUAAUUUCCUCACUUUUGAUAAUAUUGUCCUGGAACCAUCACCUCAACAGUUGGUCGGAACGGCACUGGUAAAUCAAGUCUUGUUUGUGCCAUAAUGUCUUGUUCUUUGUGGCAAUACCUCUAUCCUUGGACGAGCAAAAGACUUGAAGGAUUUUGUGAAGAGCAGCCCAGCAAAGGAAGGAUAUGUUGAGAUUACAAUUCAUCACAGAAGUGGUAACCAUCCCACCAUUAGGAGACAUAUAUUCAAGGACAGGAAUAAUUCAAAAUGGCUUCUUAAUGGAGUUGACAAGAGAGAAAUGGAGGUUAAAGAUCUUGUGAAGAGUUUGAAUAUACAACUGGAGAAGAAGUGCCAAUUUCUGCCACAAGUAUGGUAUACAAUCUCCAGUUUAUUUUAAGGAUAAGAGUGGACGACUAGUAAUAUCACCAAAAGUUGAUGAUCCAAACACACUGCACUGGACUGAAGGUUCUAUUACAUUUACUGAUCGUAGUAUUACAGUGGAAACUCAUCAUUCUUCGUUCGCUAUUAGCUUAUUUGAUCAUAUCCUUGUUAGCGUUAAAGUUGAUUCCACAUCACCAGCCCAUCCUCAUAAAAUAUCACUUGAACUGAACCAAUGCACACCAACCAAACCAAGUACUGGUGAUCAUCGGAAGGAAGGGAAGACAACAUCAAAAGAUAUUAUUAAAGUUUUGAGAUCAGAAGAGAAAGCAAAACGUGAAAAAGACACUAGUGAAAUGUUGAGUGAAGAAUAUAAGCAGCAGGAACACACUUUAUAUACAAUAAUUAAUAAAAUGCAUCACAUUGGAAUAAGAGACUAUUGAUGAGUUAUUGUUGAUGAUUCUAUAGAGGUGAGAGUAUACACAACCUUGGUUUUAAUCCACCCACUAUUAAUUAAUUGUGUUACUAUUCAUUUUUUCACAAUGUAUGCUUUGAACAGUUCGACCAGA